rnacentral:rRNA from 1 species
CGCCUGGGGAGUACGGCCGCAAGGUUGAACUCAAAGGAAUUGACGGGGACCCGCACAAGCGGUGGAUGAUGUGGUUUAAUUCGAUGCAACGCGAAAACCUUACCCACCUUUGACAUGGCAGGAAGUUUCCAGAGAUGGAUUCGUGUCGAAAGAAACCUGCACACAGGUGCUGCAUGGCUGUCGUCAGCUCGUGUCGUGAGAUGUUGGGUUAAGUCCCGCAACGAGCGCAACCCUUGUCAUUAGUUGCUACAUUCAUUGAGCACUCUAAUGAGACUGCCGGUGACAAACCGGAGGAAGGCGGGGAUGACGUCAAGUCCUCAUGGCCCUUAUAGGUGGGGCUACACACGUCAUACAUGGCUGGUACAGAGGGAUGCCAACCGCGAGGGGAGCUAAUCCCAUAAACCAGUCGUAAUCGGAUG